UACGUAGGGGGCGAGCGUUGUCCGGAAUUAUUGGGCGUAAAGAGCGUGUAGGCUGUUCGGUAAGUCUGCCGUGAAAACCUGAGGCUCAACCUCGGGCGUGCGGUGGAUACUGCCGGGCUAGAGGACGGUAGAGGCGAGUGGAAUUCCCGGUGUAGCGGUGAAAUGCGCAGAUAUCGGGAGGAACACCAGUAGCGAAGGCGGCUCGCUGGGCCGUUCUUGACGCUGAGGCGCGAAAGCUAGGGGAGCGAACGGG
rnacentral:rRNA from 1 species